rnacentral:misc_RNA from 1 species
UAAGUUGAUGGGGGUAUUUAGAUCUUUUUGCGGCUCAAUAGGCAGCAGUGGGUUCUUUUGCUGCCAAAAUAUUUGAGUUGGAGUUGUCUUUGGAUCUUGUAUCAUCAAUUUGUUUCAUACUGGGUAGUAUAAGAAACGGCAAUUAUGUGUUAAAUGUAAGUCUAUAUCUGAACUUGUAUUUUUUAUUGUGGAUUGGUUUGUUUGGUUUAGAAUAAGAUGA